CUCACCCUUUGGAUCAUCUCUAUGAUGCUUGAUCUCUGGAUUGAAUGCAGUCUAGCAUCUCAAAUGGCACCAGCUGCAGGAGUGGCGUUUGAUGGGAGCGUCUGGGUCACGGCAGGGUCGUCCAUAGGCCUUGGUGAGCGGAAAAGAAACCACACUUUAUGGAACAUCUGCUAGUUGACCACCAAAGUGAUCCUGCCCUUGGCAAUGAUUUCAUUCGAGGAAUAUGGCCAUAAUAAUGUGAUACUGAAGUCAGGUUGCGUGUGACAGUGGCUGGGGCUGCACUACUGACCGCUGCUGGAGGCUUUGCUCUUUCCCGUGCUGUUCAGGUAAGGAGGCAAGAGACAAUCCUUAGGCAUUACUUCCUGCUUAAUAUUCCCUCAAUUGUUGAGAAUCCAGACUGGAGCUUCACUGCACCUGGAGUGCAUCUUAUUAUGCUAGAUUGUACUGAUUUGUUUGAGCUGUUGUCCGGGUCUGCAGCGCGGUGAGAUUGGUAGGAGCUUUGCAGAGCCAGCAAAGCAGCAGCAGCGUGGCAGGACUAUAUUGAAAGUGGAGAGAGGCAUGCAGCAACCCGCUGUGAAGCAGAGCGAGCCAGAGGCCCUGAUCGCAGAGGAGAACACAAGGAAGAACGGCCAAGCAUGAGUGUACACAUGUGUGGCAUGCAGCUGAGCUGCUGCACAGGUUUAUAAAGAAGGUCCACUUUCCAUUGCACUCAAACCUUUCCCGUGCGUGACAUAGGUAUUAUGGCUCAGUACGUGCAGUGUCAACAAUGGCGCAGCACGGCUCAAUUUUGGCGCUCUUGCGAGCCUUGGUGAUUGCCACAAAAUAAGAAGUAUGAAAGUGCAAUGUGAUCACAGCUAGCUCUUUACUUUGCUAGCUCUUUACUUUGCUAGCUCUUUACUUUGUUGGGCAACGGAAUCAAAUUCUGAAACGAGGGAAGGAAUGGGAUAUCCUAAUCGAUUGGAGCAGACAAACUGGUACAGUGAGAGAAAAACAAGGUUUCUCUGCAUGCAGACAUGCUUGGAUCCAGUUCAUACAUAGUGUUAUUUACGCCCAGGCCACUAUUUUCGGAC
rnacentral:lncRNA from 1 species